UAGAAUUCUCCAGCCCCCUUCUCUAUCAUCUGGUUCCUACAUACUUUCUCCUCCCUCUUCCUCAUGCUCCCCACUUAGAAGAGGGAGUGGCAUCAAUGUCCUGGUAGGGGGUAGGACUUCGACCAUCACCUCUUAGAACCUUGAGUAGCCAUGAGUCUAUGCCUUCACCGCUGUUCACCACAAAAACAGGCUAUUUUGAUGGAAGCUGAGAGUGGCGUUUGUCUGACUCUCUGCCUAAUUCCCUUGAGAUACCAUCUCCCACUAGACCUGGACCUAGGCUGAGAGCCAGCAAACCUCAGCGCCCAUCUCCAUCCCUCACAGUAGAGGUUUCCAUGAAGCCAUGACCAGGAAGAGACACAGGAAGAGGAUUCCGCGAACAUCAUGGAAAGCUACACAAUGAACUGGCAUAUCUCCGUUAGCUGACUGCUUGUCCGGCAUUCAAAUGGCCCAAAACAAAGACCCAGUGACUUAAGCAGCCAACUUACAAUGCUGAGUAUGAAAGCCAGAAGCCAUGGGCUGCAAAUAUACUCAAAUAAAGAAAACAGGCUGGAAUGCUGA